GGAUGGGGUCUACCCAGUACUGGGCCUUGUCUUAGGUGCUAGAUAUGUGUCCUGCAUAUGAUCUUCAAACCCAACUUUGGUGACUAGCAAGGGGAACUGUGAUAUAAGGAAAUGUAGAGUAGCUAAGAUGGCCAUGUUCUGGCAAAGGCACAAGAGCAGUGCGUGGUGGGCUUCUCUCCAGAGACUGGCCUGGCCCAAGGAACUCAGAGAAGACAGGCUUGGGUAGAGGUCAGGGACUUCAGGCCCAGGUUGGUUAGGACCACUCAUUAUGGAGCUGGGUACAGCACUGGGUAGGCACUGGGUAGGCCUGAGCUGUCCCUAACUAACCUCAUAAGGGCCUAUCGAGGCCUCAAAGGAAACUGGCUGUAUCAUGUGCUGACUCUAUGACCCUGACUGUAUCAUUGUGACCACGCCCUUUCCAGCUUAAGUCCUCACCUGUAAAAGUGGCUGCACAAGGAAAGAGAAACACAGACAAACACAGACAGACAGACAGACAGACACAGGGGAAGGAGAGAGCGAGAGCAAGAGAGAGAGAGAGAGAGAGAGAACACAGAGUUUGAUCCAAGGUGGACCUCUGCUAAGGACGUGGUCUGUAUGUUUGUAUGUUUAGGAUUACAGGAAUGGUCAUUAUGCUAAGUCACAGGCUCUCAGCUUUGAAAGGGCACGGGAUAGUCCUCAACACAGGGUAUUGAUCCUCUAGCAAGGCUGAGCAUCCACACAGAAGUGAUCCCCCUCUUCUCUUUCUCCUCCUCUCCUCCUCCAGGUUAGCAUAAAGCCUAGCACAAGAUGUGGGUGGAACCGAGCAGCAACCACUCUGGGCUGGUCCUCUGUGAGUUUCUGGAGGAAUUGUCCAGAGGAGAGCGCGAAGACUUCUAUCACUCUGGUAUUAUCCAAAGCCGUGAGCAAAACAGGGUCCUGAGACCUCUGAAGGAGAAGUCUGAGAUCUAAUCAGAUAGCCUGAAAAGACCACCCAUUGUUCCUGAGGCCCGCCUGCCCGCUGAAGACAGGACGGGCUCUCCCAUUUGCUCUCUGCCAGCGACAGCGGUUCAUUGAAACUUCUACUGGAAACUGAGGAAAGGGAUUGAAGUGGCCCUGAGACAAAACAAGGUUCUUGGAGGUGCCGAGGGCUAUAGACAGGCAGAGAACGCAAGCAAGCUCUCCAGACUGCCUGUCAGCUUUCCAUGGUGGCAUCGGUAACAUUUGUCAACAUGCUUGUUGUUUCUCCGGCAUGAUGUGUGUCUGUGUAGAAAGGACCAGGGAGCGUCUUAUCCAUGGAAGUUAAAAUGGAUGGGGUUAGUCUGCAUCUCUGUAGUUCUCUGCAGGGAGGUGUGCAGGAAGACCCCAGCCUCCUCGACCCAGAGACAUCAGAGCUCUGCCAAGGGUUCAGAGGCUGCAAACAGGUAAGUACUCAAGCAGUUGGGGGAGCAACAAGAAGCCAGUUUGUGCUAAGGUCUGUGAAUGUCCAAAACCACAUAGAUACACACACUGGGUACUUGUCCUUCUGGAAGCGGACUCCUGGGCUUCCUUCCUGCCUCACUGCUUCUGGAUGAAGCAUGUAAGGUUACAAAUCGCCGUCUCUUUCUUCCUUGGCAUAAUGGAUGGGUAAGAGGGUGCACGUGUUCAUGCAUUCAUAGCGGCAGGGAGAGUUGGGGAUAGCAAUUCGAGAGAGCCAGAGAAAGGCUGGGUACAAUCAUGCCAGGUCAUGGCCUUCAGGAAUGCCCUUGGGGUGCUUCAUGUCACUCCAGUGAAACUUGUGCCAACCAGAUGUCAUGCACAGCUAUAAUCCUAGUACUCCGGAGGCCGAGGCAAGAAAAGAAUCCUCAGCUUAAGAUCAUCCUGAGUUACAUAGUAAGUAUUAGAGCAGCCAGGGCUAGUGAGACCCUGUCGGCCAAUACCUGUGCAUUUGAGGGAAGAAGGAAAAGGGACAGCCAGGAUAGAGAGCCUCACUCACUGUCCCUUCUUCCCUGGCUCUAUCAGCCUGCUUUGUGUUGAGUCCUCCGGGUUUUGGAGUGCUUCUUAGUGGAUUUUCAGGCUUCCUUGGGCUCUCCAAAGAGGACCCUAGCCCUGAAAAAAAAAAAAAAGGGCAAACAGGUCUCUAUGCAGAUUAUGGCUUUGUAAGCCUUGAAUCUUGCACUCAGAGGUCAGCCUCCUUGGAAGGGUACUUCCCUCCCUCCCCCACCCAAAUCAACCUUUGUUCCCAUUUGGGAGCAGUAACUGGUAUAAGGCUGCCCUGGGGCAUCCAAAUAAAACCUGAAAAAUGCUGGCCCCGCCCAGUAGUGCAGAACUCUACUGAAAGGUAAUUAUAGGCCCUGGGAUGGUGAGCUCUACCCACAGUUCAGCGCUUACUGGGCCCUGGGCCAAGGGCUGUAUGGAGCUCUCCCCACCCUGUUCCAUUCUGUUCUAGGCCUUUAGGAUUCAAGCCUCCAAAGUCCUCAGCUUUGAUGCCUUCUAUCAGUCCAUAUGCCCCCUGAUCUUAUCAGGGAUCCCCUGGGGGUCUGGAGGAACUCUAGACUCUGAAGAAGGUGUGAAGAAUUUGAGUUUCAAAUCCCUAUUAAAAACAGUAAUUCCAGCUUCCACAGAGUGCCCAGUACAGGACAAGCUCUAGCCUAACCCCUGCCAUUGAGAUGUCAUUCACCCACAACUGGCCCACAAAACCCUUAUGUCGUCAGUACUGUUGUUAUAGGAGAGACGGAGAUCCAGGAAGUCUAAAUAACACACCCAUUGUCACACAGCUGAGAGGCAGUCAGAGUGGGCCUCACAUCCCAACCUGUGCUGAGUUUCAGACCAGGGUUCCCAGCCACUGGGCUAGCUUGACCCUGUGCCACAGGACCAGAAGUGAGCAGGCAACUGUGCAGGAUGGAGUAAGACAGUGAGUGGCCCAACAGUGUCCACAGCUGAGGGGAGAGAUGGCAUUUUUACCCUAGAGGAGUACACCUUUCCGGUUAUGGCCUGAGGGGGUAUCGUGAGUUAGUGUCUGGAGGAGGUGACAGAGAGGUAGAGACAAUGGUGGCUACUUGUUUUGCUUCCGUAUUGCCUGCCCUCUCAGCCAUACCACCUCUCUUUAACUGCCCAGGGUUCAGGAGGCUCCCACAUGUUUGUCUCCUGCAAGAGUGUAUAUCCAGGAUGCUUUUGUGAUAGGAUGCCUGGGUCUGAUAGGUACAGAGGCUUAGGCCCUACCUCCUCUGGCACAGGACCUACUCUCUGGACCUCUGCCAUGAUUUAUCUCUGGAAUUUGCCUUGAAAUACUCCUGGUCCCCACUGAUGAGCAAGGACCAAGCGGUGACUGCCCUUGUCCCUGGGCUCAGGAUGUCGGUGCAAGCUGCUAGAAAAUUCUUAUGAGCAUCUAUUAAUAACUGACUCCUUGCUGUGUGACAUUGACUUCCAUUCUCUUAUUCCUGAUUCCCUUCCCGGCUCUUAGUAAUGCUAUAGUAAAAAAGACCCUGUGUUCAUACUUCUCUCUGCACUAAGUGGUAUCUCCAAAUGACCUCUGCACUGACCUUGUUACUAAUAAACAAGGGACACAGAACUCUUACUGAGCACCUACUAUGUGCUGACCGCUGCUGAGUGAAGGGAGGGAGAAAGGAGUAUAAAUGUCUAGGUGGCUACCAUGCUGAUUGAUCAUUGCAUUUCAUGCCAAUCCUUCAGGAAUACAGCUCACCAUCCUUCUUGCAUAGCUCCAUAUGCCACUGGUAGCCAGGUAGAGUUCUCGUGAAAGUAGGGACCUAUUUACCCUCCUCCCUUCUGCACCCCACCUCCUACCAAGAAUUGAGGCCAGACUCCAGCCAGGGCUUCUUGUGUAAUGCUGUCCUUGUCCUGUGCCACCUCACAGUGUCCGUGCCCUGAUUUCUGUCCUCAUUCUCACUGCCUGACCCAGGAUGGGGAAAGGCGGGCAGGAUCAUCUGUCUUCCUGUCUCAGGUUCCUGUAAGGCUAUGAAGCCUAGUCGGGGACAUGGCCCCAGAGUGGCACAGUAAGUACCUUUAGACAACUGUGUCAGAACAUUUUCAUGGCCCUGUCUUCAGCCCUGGCCCUCAGCUGAUGUAAGUCUUCACAAAGCUGCUUUGGAGCCUAAAGAUUGCAGAGUUGUGGUCCAGCCUCCGGAACACUACAGCUCACUCUGCUCGCUCCCAGGAAAAGACUAGAGCUGCCUUCUCCCUUGCCUGAUUCAGCCAUUCAAACAUGUGGAUCAGAACUCACUGUUUACUUGAGCCUGGAGGUAGGGAAACAGGGAGAAGAGGGGGCGGG